rnacentral:rRNA from 1 species
UACAGAGGGUGCGAGCGUUGUCCGGAAUCACUGGGCGUAAAGGGCGCGUAGGUGGCGACCCAAGUCUGUGGUGAAAGCUCGCCGCUUAACGGCGAGUCGGCCACGGAUACUGGGUGGCUCGAGCACUGGUAGGGGCAGAUGGAAUUCCGGGUGUAGCGGUGGAAUGCGUAGAGAUCCGGAAGAACACCGGUGGCGAAGGCGGUCUGCUGGGCAGUAGCUGACACUGAGGCGCGACAGCGUGGGGAGCAAACAGG